AUCAUUUCUCAGCCCUUUGGCUAAGAUCAAGUGUAUUAGCUGUUCUUAUCAGGUUAAUAUCUGAUAUGUCCUUUACUUGAGGACAAAAUAUUAAAUGUAUUUUUGGAGCAAGGAGAUAGAAUAGGGACUUGUUCCAUACACUCCGUGCAUUGACCUGGUACUGUAGUAUCUCCAGGAAUGGUGGACCAAAA
rnacentral:snRNA from 1 species